CGUUAUUUGCCACCGGGUAAAUAAUCAAGUGUCUGAACAUACUCCGUUAGGUCAAAGAAGGAGCGUGUUCAGGCACUUUUUUGCU
rnacentral:ncRNA from 1 species